rnacentral:lncRNA from 1 species
AUUUGAUAAUAAUUAAAACCAAUGAAAAAGAUACCUUAACUGGUCAUGCAUAUCUGCUCAUGAACAUAGGAAAUAAGAACUUAGCUAAUAUGGACUUAAAACCUCUGAUGAACCUUUUGUGCAUUCAGGUGAAAGAAAGAUAAAUGUAAAUGAAUCAUAGCGUACUUUUAUACAUCCGUUAUAUCUGAUAUGCCUCCCAAACUUGAUUUCAUUUAAACUUUAAAAAUAAUUUCAGCCACUGAUGACAUUGGGCAAGUCUUACAUUAUAUUUUUUAUAUUUUAUAAUUUUGUAGUGUUUCCAAUAUAUGUAUUGUGACUUUAAUUUUCAGCCCUUUAAUCAAAACAUGUAUGAUAACGGGUGACAUUUUAUAUAUCAUCUCAUAUCAUGGCCAUUUGAUGACAAAGUCUGUUUCUGGGUCGAAAACCAUAUUGAAACCUCAUAACACAUGUAUAUGAUUACAAACAUGUGUGCCUAUAUAUAUAGUCCUCAAUAUUUCUUUACUUGUAGAAAAUUUUGUAUUGUAAAUGAACCUGUAAAAACCAAAUUUUAAUUUUAUUUAAAAUGUGAUCAAAAUAUGUCAAUAUUUUAUACAUGUUUUCAGUCAGGCCACUGACUGCCUAAAGGGGGAGGGGGGCUGAUUCUGUCACGCUUCAGUGAUUCCCUUUAUAACCAACCAAAACUUUCUGAACAUUUUUCUGAAAAAGGGGGUCAGUGUUGAUCAGUUUUUAUCUACUGUGGAUUAAUUAUUUUUCGUUUGAUACCAAUUUUCGGGGAUUUCAUGGGUACAGAAGAACCACGAAUUUAGAUGUUCAACGAAGUUACAAAUUUUCCAUAGGCUUGUUUGCAGACUUUUGCAGAACCACGAAAUUAAGUGUCCACGAAUGUGUAAGUUUUGUUCAAUCCACGAAAAUUGAUACCCACGAAAAUAAAUGAAUCCACAGUAUUUAAAUCUUGUAACUGAAAGGUUUCACUUAGUUCAG